rnacentral:rRNA from 1 species
UACAGAGGGUGCGAGCGUUAAUCGGAAUGACUGGGCGUAAAGGGCAUGUAGGCGGUUAUGUUAGUCUGACGUAAAAGACCCGGGCUUAACCUGGGACCUGCGUUGGAAACGGCAUAGCUAGAGUAUGGGAGAGGGAAGUGGAAUUUCCGGUGUAGCGGUGAAAUGCGUAGAGAUCGGAAAGAACACUCGUGGCGAAGGCGGCUUUCUGGCCCAUAACUGACGCUGAGGUGCGAAAGCAUGGGGAGCAAACAGG